rnacentral:rRNA from 1 species
CUCCGGUUGAUCCCGCCGGGGAGUACACCGACUGCACGCCGAGCUGUGGCGAGGCUCUUCCAGUUGCGGAUCGCCACGUUGGUGUAGACCAGCGGCACCUUGACUCCGUACGCGAGCGCUUCCUUCUGCGCCGCGGGCAGCUCCGGGCACAAGUAGGGAAUCAUCCCGUUCCAGCACGCGAGCACGCAUGCCCGUGCCCGCGCCGUCCACACCUUCCCCCCGCGCACAUACGUGAUCUCGACCUCGCCGCCGCCCUUGGCGUUCGCGGCCCGGAUGACGGUGCUGUUGAGGCGGAUGCGGGUGGGGGCGUGGGGUGUGUCGAGCGGCGCGUAGUUCACUCGGGCCAACACCACAUCAUCCAUGGUGUGUCCCGGCGCGGCGUGGGGCACGAGCUUCCGCACGAGCAGCCGCGCGAUCGAGGCGUUGCCGUCCGGGAAAUGGAAGAUGUACGGCUCUUCUUCGUGCGGUUCCGCCGUGAGCCCGAUGCCCUCGGUGCCUGCCUGACCCAGCGGCAGACCCUUGAACCCCGGAUAGCCAAGGCCCCAGCAGUCGAGCGCCGGCACGGCGUCGAUGCCGACGCCGUAGAGGUCGUGGGUCCACGCCUGAAACAGCGGGAUCGUGUCCGGGUGUACCGCGGCGUGUUGCAACAGGUAGUCCCGAUAGCUCGUCUUCUCGAGCUUGGCGGUCACCUGCGCCGGCGAAAGACCCGGGAAGGGGGCGGCGUCCGCCGUGAACAGAUGGAAAAUCGACGCCAGGACUUCCGGCGCGAACGGUGCGUCCUUGAGCUCCUCGACCGACUGGACCUCGGGCCAGUCGCGCCGGCCGAGUCCGGCGACGACCAGUCGAUCGGCCCCGAAUGUCUCCCGAUCGAAGAAGACGCCGCCCUUGAGAUGCCACCGAGCGGGGAACGAGCGAUCGUACGCCCGAUAGAACUCGGCUGUCUCGAUGCCGAGCUCGGUCAGAAGCCCGCGUGCCUCCGCACUGUAGCGCGACGGCGAAUCGAUCGAUUGCGAGCCACCGUAUCCGAUGAGCAGCUUCCCGGCGACACGGAAUUCGUUCCGCUUCGCGUGACCGCCGAAAUCGUCGUGGUUGUCCAGGACGAGUACUCGCGCGCGACCGCCAUGGGCCUUCUGAAAGAAGUGCGCGGCGCUCAGCCCGCUGAUCCCGCCUCCCACCACGAUCAAGUCGUACGAUUCACCGCUCGGCCGCGCCUCCCGCAUCAUCGCGUCGAGCCCGCCGUCGCGGAUUUGGUGCGCGACCUCGAACGAUCCCGGAUGACUUCCUCUGAGGCCCAUGAGCGCCGGUGGGUAGUACCCAGGUGCGCGCUCCGCCGCGUAGGGGCCCGAUCCCGGGAACAGGAAUAGGCGGGGGAGCAC